rnacentral:tRNA from 1 species
UAAAAGUUAGUUAAUAAUUUAUAAUACAAGUUUGUCAAACUUGAGUAAUUUUUUUUAUAAAUACUUUUUU